UACGUAGGGUGCGAGCGUUAAUCGGAAUUACUGGGCGUAAAGUGUGCGCAGGUGGCUUCGCAAGUCGAGUGUGAAAUCCCCGGGCUUAACCUGGGAAUUGCGCUCGAAACUACGGAGCUGGAGUGUGGCAGAGGGAGGUGGAAUUCCACGUGUAGCGGUGAAAUGCGUAGAGAUGUGGAGGACCACCAAUGGCGAAGGCAGUCUCCUGGGCCAACACUGACACUCAUGCACGAAAGCGUGGGGAGCAAACGGG
rnacentral:rRNA from 1 species